UCGAACGCGUGUUGGUUAUUGAUGUUAAGUGCUUGCAUUGUAACUGACCUUGCAUUGAGACGAGUGGCGAACUGGUGAGUAACACGUGCGUAACCUGCCCUUGAAGUAGGGGAUAACACUUGGAAACAGGUGCUAAUACCGUAUAACAACCAAAACCACCUGGUUUUGGUUUAAAAGAUGGCUUCGGCUAUCACUUUAGGAUGGACCCGCGGCGUAUUAGCUUGUUGGUAAGGUAACGGCCUACCAAGGCAAUGAUACGUAGCCGACCUGAGAGGGUAAUCGGCCACAUUGGGACUGAGACACGGCCCAAACUCCUACGGGAGGCAGCAGUAGGGAAUCUUCCACAAUGGACGAAAGUCUGAUGGAGCAACGCCGCGUGAGUGAUGAAGGGUUUCGGCUCGUAAAACUCUGUUGUUGGAGAAGAACAGGUGUGAGAGUAACUGUUCACAUCUUGACGGUAUCCAACCAGAAAGCCACGGCUAACUACGUGCCAGCAGCCGCGGUAAUACGUAGGUGGCAAGCGUUGUCCGGAUUUAUUGGGCGUAAAGCGAGCGCAGGCGGUUUCUUAGGUCUGAUGUGAAAGCCUUCGGCUUAACCGGAGAAGUGCAUCGGAAACCAGGAGACUUGAGUGCAGAAGAGGACAGUGGAACUCCAUGUGUAGCGGUGAAAUGCGUAGAUAUAUGGAAGAACACCAGUGGCGAAGGCGGCUGUCUGGUCUGUAACUGACGCUGAGGCUCGAAAGCAUGGGUAGCGAACAGGAUUAGAUACCCUGGUAGUCCAUGCCGUAAACGAUGAGUGCUAAGUGUUGGAGGGUUUCCGCCCUUCAGUGCUGCAGCUAACGCAUUAAGCACUCCGCCUGGGGAGUA
rnacentral:rRNA from 1 species